rfam:Nicotiana sylvestris Nsyl_contig82798, whole genome shotgun sequence.
AUACCGUGGUGCAGACAUAUGACCAACAUCCCUUUGAAUCGUUCCCAUGUUUCUUGUAGUGUCUCCAUUGAUUUCUGUUUGAAACUAAAAAUUUCAUCAAUUUGUUG